UACGGAGGGUGCAAGCGUUAAUCGGAAUUACUGGGCGUAAAGCGCACGCAGGUGGCUGAGCGAGUCGAUUGUGAAAGCCCUGGGCUUAACCUGGGAAUUGCAGUCGAUACUACUCAGCUAGAGUAUGGGAGAGGGUAGUGGAAUUCCCGGUGUAGCGGUGAAAUUCGUAGAUAUUCGGAGGAACACCAGUGGCGAAGGCGGCUCACUGGCUCGACACUGACGCUGAGGUGCGAAAGCGUGGGGAGCAAACAGG
rnacentral:rRNA from 1 species